AAAAUGCCCAGCGAGGCUACAGGAACAAGCGGUGUAUCAAAAUUCAAAGAAUUCAAAAAGGAUGCCGAAUGCUAAAGGGAAGAAGCAGCUGGCAAAGGUUUGUGGAUGCUGGUGGAAACAAUUUAGGUUUGGUUGCCGAGCCACAAAAUAUGACUGGCCAAAUCAAACUGAAGCUUAUGUUUGACACAUUUGUUUCCUAUCAUGAAUCUGAUAAAAAUUGGGUAACAGAAAACUUAAUUCAGCAUCUUGAAGACCAACACAUAAUCGUCUGUUGGGAUGACAGGGAUUUUGAGCCUGGCAGGACUGUUAUUGAAAACAAGCUAAGCUCUCUCUGUUCAAGUGCAUGUACAAUCAUUGUGUUAUCGCCUGAGUAUGUGGAGCAUGAAAAUUUAUGGUCAGUGUUGCAAGAAAAAUGUGGAGUUGACAGAUGCCAGCUUCUGAAUGAAUUGAAUCUCAUUCCUGUGUUGUUUAGACCAUGCAAAGUCCCGGAAUUAUUCCAGACCUUAUGGAAACUUGACUGGACAAAUAAAAGUGUGAAAAAGUUUUUCUGGGAGAAGCUUACAAAAACUGUCAGAAACUUUACUCAUGGUGACCAUAAUUUCUCACCAGAAUUUUCUGUGCCUGCGGAAACCAAUGGAAGCAGUGAAGACUCUGGUGUCUUUUUCCAAAAGGAACCAGAAUUUUCUGACGACUCUGAAGCAAAUGAAUUUGAUGAACAUGAAAAUUCUUUUCAUAAACAGAAACCAAAGAGUCCUGAGGAAAUCCUGGUGGUGGAAAAAAAUCCCUGUGAUGAAAAACAGAUGCCUACAAGCAAUUUUCCAAUGAACACAAACACAAAUGAAUGCAUCAAGGAUUCUAUUCCUAAAAAGAGAUCAAACAUCUGUCAAAGCAAAGAAAUGAGUGAUCAAUGUGAAAAAUCAAUGACAAUUCAACAGUCUGGUAGUUUUGAUGAAAAUUUUCAAACAAACAUCCCUGGUGAUGAACUCAACAAUUCUAAACAAAUUUUAAUAAAAACAAUUAAUGACAGUGAAAAUCAAUUAGCUGAAAGCUUAGGUGAAGAAAAUAACUUUCUAGAGAAUAUGAACCCAAGGAUUUUGAGUUUCUUUGUACCAGAAGACGAUGAUUUAACAAGAGAAGACAUAGAAGAGUUGACUUUUAAGAUCGAGAAUGUUAAUCUUGGGGACCAUCAGCCAUCUUUUGAGGAUGAUUUUGACGAGGAAAAGAGUUAUAAAGUGCCUUUGGCAAAUCCUGCUUCAAAAAGGAAGAAGAGAAAUCUUGAUACCUUUCAAUCUCAGCAAGAGCAGAUAUUGAUCUUAGAUUUCCUACAAGAAAAAUAUUUGAAAAUUAAAAGGAAAUUUGAAAGUUGCCUUGUUUGUGACAGGAAAAGAAUCUAUAGAAGACUGUUAGAGAGAUUUGAUGAGGCAAUUUGCUCAACAGUCAAUGGAGAAAAGGAUUCACUGCUUUUAGCCAGUCUGCCCAUAUCAGACCUGACAGUCGAUGAGAAUAGAGGUUGUAGCUGCUCUUGCUGUGAUCAGCUUUUUCAUAGUGACAGGGCACUUCACAUGCACAUAGGAGAAUGUGUAAGAACAGCCUGGAUUUCAAUACUCAAUAACCCAUUUUACAAUGGAAAAUGAGGAAAAUUAAAACUCAAACUGUAAGUGAGACUUACUUAUACAGAAGGAAGAGCUACAUGUUUACCAAUUUAUAUUAUAAUUCUCCGUAAAAGUCUGGGUUAUUUUUUAUUGCUCAAUUGUUAUAUUAUAUUGGGAAAUUUUGCGAAGGCUCAAACAAUUAGUUCUAUUGCCAAAAAUAGUUCAAAUCGUCAGUUUGCCCUCCGCAAAGAGUAUACAAACACGAGAAACCGUACUAAAACAAGAUAAGAAUGUAAAUGCAACGGAUAAUUCGCUUCUUCAAGACUUGCUCUUGUCAAAGGUUGUUUUUUUCGGGAGGUAAAUCGAUGGUAAAACCGACUGUCUUAGUUUUGUUAUUUUAUCUUGCUAUAAUGCAUUUUUUAUGAAAAAAAGGAAAUUUUUUUAAACCUCAUUUAAAGAGUCAUUUUUCUAAUUAUGCCUAGAUGAAAUACAAAUGAGGUCCAGAAAUGAUUAUUAUGACUUAAAAAGAUACAUAGUACAACUUUCACCAAGUUAUGAUUUUUGCAAACAAUUUUUUGAUGGUACAAAACUUGAAAAUGGCUUUGAAAAAAGCAAACAUUUAGUAAACUAAAGCUUGUGCAAAAAACUAUAAUGGCGACAUGUUUCGGAUUAUUGGUAAAGCCCGAUCGGCGUUCCACCUAGCAGUUUUGGAAUCUAUCUACAUAAGCAGGAAAAAACCUCUACUCUGUAGACAAAAGGAGUUCGUUUUCACCUUAGGACUCCAUUGGUAACAUUCUCAAUAGGCAAGCGGCACUGAUUGGUCAACCUGAACAAUCAUGUGUUCGUGUUUCUGAUUGGCCUAUUUUGAUCCGCAACUGGUAUAUAUAUUUCCUAGCGUAGAGUUUUCGAUCUAUGUUCUGACGUUUUGAACUCUGAAAAGUGUCAGACGAAAAGCUUUAGUUUACUAAAUGUUUGCUUUUUUCAAAGUCAUUUACAAGUUAUGAUUUCUUAUUUAAUUUUCGCAAUAUAUGUAUAUAUUUUUUUGAUCUUGAGAUUUAAUAUCUUCCCGUUUCUAGUCAAGUGGUUGUACAUAUGUCUAAUUCAUCUUGAAAAUAUAUAUAUUAGCUGGAAAUAACUUUAUCUAUUUUGUUACCGUAUCCAUUUAACAGUAAAUGAAAAAUGAUAGUAAGUGUUUUUUCUAUUUAAUUGUUUUGGUUGCUGCGAUAGAUGUUGCAAUGUAGCUUCAAAUUGUUCCAAGAAAAUUAGAACGAAUUUGAAAAACGUCGUUUCGGUCAGGUCUCUUGAUUAUGGGCUACGCUCAAAAGGCCUUUUUUAAAAUUCAAUCUUAUUUUCCUCUAACAGUUUUAUCUUAUUUUCAAGUUAUGUUGUCACAUUACAUUCUAUGAUACGCAAGCAAUUUUUUUAUGGAAUCUCAAUAAAUGUUGCUUUGUUAAGGAAUUUUCUAAAACAGUAAAGGAGUUAAAGAAACAUUUUUUAUCCAGGAACUCUCUGUUUGAUGUUGCUCUAACGUCUGUCUGUUAUUAGCUAUUAAAUGUCUAUUUUUACAGCCAGGGAGCCUUCUACAAACACCUUUUUAAUAUCAUGCUCAACACAAUGACAACCUACAGCAAAAUUUUGAUUCUGCGAAAUAAGUUUCUUAUUUUAAUAUUUGAAGGAGAUAUCUAGAUUGAAUUUGCGUUUAAGCUUGUUUCAGGAAAUAUUCAUUCUUUGAGAAUCUCCCUCCCCUUAAGCCAUUCAGCAGUCUUUCGUAAAGUUCAGUUAUUGAAAAUUAAACGAAUUUAUAACAAUCUCAACGUAGGAAUUCGUAAUUAAGUGAAUCAUCUUCCACAAAGAUCAACUUUUUUACCAUCUAGACGUUUUCGUGGAGUAUUCGAAUUUAAACCUUUUUUAAGAUGUGAGUAUCUUAAAUACACUGUGAUGCUAGGCCGUUGACUGUAGUUAAACUUGUAAAGUUUGAAUGUUCUCAUAAGUAACUAUGAACGAUGUAAAAAGACUUCUGCACUGGAUGCAAGCAAAGCCCAAUUUGUAAUUCUUGUAGUGGGAUCAGUGGCGUACCCAGGACUAUAGUAGGGGGGGGGGCGCAGUCCCCGGGAAUUUUUUUUCGGACCACGCUCUUCAAACACGCGCAAAUGCGGGAAAAUGCCCUUUUUGCAAAAUUUUCCCCCAUUAUUUGAUUCAUAUUAGCUACGGUAAAUAGCAAAGCAUUUUACAAUUGUUAUUGACACAAACAUACAGUAUACUUCCCCCCCCCCAAUGAGUUUUACAUCGUUUUUGGACAAAUCUCGAGGACCAUAUUUUAGAAAAGUGGGGGGUCCGGACCCCCCAAUUCUCCCCCCUUGGGUACGCCACUGAGUGGGAUAUAUUUAUAGCUGUUGUAUUAUUCAUGAAUAAGAAUGAAAAUAAUUACAAAUCAUUUGAUAGAAAACGACUUCUCAUAUCAUAUGGUAAUAUUCAAAAGCUUCUGAUAAUUAUUUCUUCUACAAAUCGCAGUUUGUAUCAUAUCGUUUUCUUAUUUCUUGUCCGGAAAGACAGAGUAAUCGCGAUGAUUCUUUCUGGCAAUACGAAUCCGAAGUACUCCAGGUACUCCUCACCUUUGGGAAUAAUAACAUAAGAAAAGACCCAUCAGUAUGCUUCCUGUUACCAUGUUUGACUGGAUGUCGAAGUAAACCUUCGAAUUAUUGUGUUAAUGACUUAAAGAGUCACACAGGGAUGCAGAAAGCAUAUAUAUCAUACCAUCGAGAGCAAUUUUUUCAGGUUUAAUCUCAAAUAACCUGAAGUGGUUUACUAGUUUUCUUUCAACCGAUCAGAAUUAGUUGCAAUUUUGCCGACAAUAAUUGCUCAUGUGCCUUGAGAAGUGGUUUCAUCUGACGUCAAUAAUUCAUGUGUAUUCUUUGCAAUAUUCAUUUCUCAAGGAACCAUCACAUGGCUUAUUUAUGCAGUGGAGUCUUCUGCCUUAAAACCUGCCUCUAGUCUUUGCAAUUAUUCACAUGUAGGGUUUAUUUCUGUAGCACAUAAAAAACAUUUAGAAUGAAAACCGAGCUGCAUUAAAAUAUGAUUAUGUCAGUUUCAUUCAAAUUGCGACAAAAUCUUGAUUUCGUCUUUUCAGCAGACUCUCUUGUCACAUUUAAUAUGGCUCUUGCAUUGGUGUAGAUGUUCAAUUUCAAACUAAGGAUCAAUUUCAUUUAUGUUGUAGGCUCGCGUUGAUGGGGCGG